AGCGAACGCUGGCGGCAGGCCUAACACAUGCAAGUCGAACGAAGUCUUCGGACUUAGUGGCGGACGGGUGAGUAACACGUGGGAACGUGCCUUUAGGUUCGGAAUAACUCAGGGAAACUUGUGCUAAUACCGAAUGUGCCCUUCGGGGGCAAGAUUUAUCGCCUUUAGAGCGGCCCGCGUCUGAUUAGCUAGUUGGUGAGGUAAAGGCUCACCAAGGCGACGAUCAGUAGCUGGUCUGAGAGGAUGAUCAGCCACAUUGGGACUGAGACACGGCCCAAACUCCUACGGGAGGCAGCAGUGGGGAAUCUUGCGCAAUGGGCGAAAGCCUGACGCAGCCAUGCCGCGUGAAUGAUGAAGGUCUUAGGAUUGUAAAAUUCUUUCACCGGGGACGAUAAUGACGGUACCCGGAGAAGAAGCCCCGGCUAACUUCGUGCCAGCAGCCGCCGCUG
rnacentral:rRNA from 1 species